GUGAAACGGAACCCCGAGGUUGUUUGUGGGGUCGUCAUGCCAACGGGCAAGUCCACGUGACUAUCUUGUUUUCCUCCGGCCAUCUGUGACGCAACAGGCGGAAACGAAAUGUCAAACGAAUGCUGAGGUAAUCUUGCCUCGAUCGAUUGCUUUGGGUUUUGACUGGAAUGGUAGAUAAACAAGACUUUGCAUGAAAAUUGCUUAUUUAUUUGAACAUAGAUCUGAUGCGUCUCAUUCUAGCUUAGGCUCAUAUUAUACAAAAAUUAUUUACCAAGACUGAAUUUUUCAAGAAGCACUUCAAACAAAAGAAACUCCGUUUAAAAACGGAAGCAACAUCUGCUGUAACAGGCAGCAAGAUGAUGGAGACGCGUUGAUAAAGAAACACUGAUUAUUUCCCAACUUACAGAAAUGAUUGAAGAAAUUGUGUAAAAGAUAGAAAUAACCUUGAACUGAAUGUUGGUGACCAUUUUUAGAGCUUAAAGCGUCAACUUUGAGAAUUAUUCUAGUCCAUAUAUUUGCAUUUUGAAGUCUUACGAUUUUAAAUAAACGUCAAUAGCUAAAGCUGUCACUUAA